GACGAACGCUGGCGGCGUGCCUAAUACAUGCAAGUAGAACGCAGUUGCGAACGGGUGAGUAACGCGUAGGAAUCUCCCUCAUAGCGGGGGUUAACUAUUGGAAACGAUAGUUAAUACCGCAUACUGUGAGAUGGACCUUCGUUGUAUUAGGUAGUUGGUGUGGUAAAGACUCACCAGGGCGACGAACCAUAGCCGACCUGAGAGGGUGGUCGGCCACACUGGGACUGAGACACGGCCCAGAAUCCUUGAGGAGGCAGCAGUAGGGAAUCUGCGGAAAUGGACGGAAGUCUGACCGAGCAACGCCGCGUGAGUGAAGAAGGUUUUCGGAUCGUAAAGCUCUGUUGUUAGGGAAGCGGUAGCUAACCAGAAAGGGACGGCUAACUACGUGCCAGCCGACGCGGUAAUUC
rnacentral:rRNA from 1 species